rnacentral:sRNA from 1 species
CGUGCACGAGCUGGGGGCAGAUGAAGUGGAUGUGGGUAUCGAGCCCGCCGGCCGUGACGAUCCUGCCCUCGCCCGCGAUGACCUCGGUCCCGGCUCCGACGACCAUGCCCGGCGUGACGCCGGCCAUGAGGUCGGGGUUGCCCGCCUUGCCGACCCCGACGAUGCGGCCGUCGCGGAUGCCGAUGUCGGCCUUCACGAUCCCCCAGUGGUCCACGAUGACCGCGUUGGUGAUCACGACGUCGAGCGCGCCGUCGGCGCGCGUCGCGCGCGCCGACUGCCCCAUGCCGUCGCGGAG